rnacentral:rRNA from 1 species
UACGUAGGGGGCAAGCGUUGUCCGGAAUCAUUGGGCGUAAAGAGCUCGUAGGCGGUUUGUCGCGUCGGCCGUGAAAUCUCCACGCUUAACGUGGAGCGUGCGGUCGAUACGGGCAGACUUGAGUUCGGUAGGGGAGACUGGAAUUCCUGGUGUAGCGGUGAAAUGCGCAGAUAUCAGGAGGAACACCGGUGGCGAAGGCGGGUCUCUGGGCCGAUACUGACGCUGAGGAGCGAAAGCGUGGGGAGCGAACAGG